GUUAAAGUAAGCUAAAUUUGAAGCUGUUGGGUCCAUACCCCAAAGAUGUGGGUUAGAUUCCCUCCUUUACCU
rnacentral:tRNA from 1 species